rnacentral:rRNA from 1 species
UUUGAAGUGUGGACGCCAGUCUGCAUGGAGCCGACCUUGAAAUACCACCCUUUAAUGUUUGAUGUUCUAACGUGGACCCGUUACCCGGGUUGCGGACAGUGUCUGGUGGGUAGUUUGACUGGGGCGGUCUCCUCCUAAAGAGUAACGGAGGAGCACGAAGGUUGGCUAAUCCUGGUCGGACAUCAGGAGGUUAGUGCAAUGGCAUAAGCCAGCUUGACUGCGAGCGUGACGGCGCGAGCAGGUGCGAAAGCAGGUCAUAGUGAUCCGGUGGUUCUGAAUGGAAGGGCCAUCGCUCAACGGAUAAAAGGUACUCCGGGGAUAACAGGCUGAUACCGCCCAAGAGUUCAUAUCGACGGCGGUGUUUGGCACCUCGAUGUCGGCUCAUCACAUCCUGGGGCUGAAGUAGGUCCCAAGGGUAUGGCUGUUCGCCAUUUAAAGUGGUACGCGAGCUGGGUUUAGAACGUCGUGAGACAGUUCGGUCCCUAUCUGCCGUGGGCGCUGGAGAACUGAGGGGGGCUGCUCCUAGUACGAGAGGACCGGAGUGGACGCAUCACUGGUGUUCGGGUUGUCAUGCCAAUGGCACUGCCCGGUAGCUAAAUGCGGAAGAGAUAAGUGCUGAAAGCAUCUAAGCACGAAACUUGCCCCGA